rnacentral:rRNA from 1 species
CGGAGGGUCCAAGCGUUAUCCGGAAUCAUUGGGUUUAAAGGGUCCGUAGGCGGUUUUGUAAGUCAGUGGUGAAAGCCCAUCGCUCAACGGUGGAACGGCCAUUGAUACUGCAAGACUUGAAUUAUUGGGAAGUAACUAGAAUAUGUAGUGUAGCGGUGAAAUGCUUAGAGAUUACAUGGAAUACCAAUUGCGAAGGCAGGUUACUACCAAUAUAUUGACGCUGAUGGACGAAAGCGUGGGGAGCGAACAGGAUUAGAUACCCUGGUAGUCCACGCCGUAAACGAUGGAUACUAGCUGUUCGGAGCAAUCUGAGUGGCUAAGCGAAAGUGAUAAGUAUCCCACCUGGGGAGGUACGUUCGCAAGAAUG